AGAGAGACGGAGGUGCACGAGACCAUCGCUGAUUUUCACCGCCAAGCUUGUUGCUGGAAAAUAACUAUUAACUUGAUAAAUUGAGCAAAUAUCCAUACCGGAGAUCUGCAUGGACCUUGGAGAAACGGACCUGAUCUGUUGUGAACAUUUUGGACUUUGAAACCACCGCGAUCUGCACGGGUGCGGAUGAAGCAGACAAGAUCCUCUCUGAGAGUUGAACAUUAGAAGCGUGCUGGCUAGGUUUUUUUGUGGGAUCGUGAGACCUGGAUUUCUUCCUGACGAGGAAGAUGGCGAGCCUUUCCCUUUGAACCGAACCACAGCCAUUCUGAGUUGGCCCAGAAGGGCAGGUUGCUCUUCUCUCACGAACAAUUGCAACAGUGCGGUAGGACGAAAUCGCACCAGUCACAGACUUUUGACCUUUUGGAUUUGACUUGACUGAACACUGACUAUUAAGCCGGCAAGACUGACAUAUCGGAGCUCAGAUAAGAUUCUGAUUGUUAUUAUUAAUGCUGUCACUGUAUUUUAUUUUUAUGUUUUCAUUUCUGUUUAUGAAGUGCUGUUAAAUUGUUGCUAAAUAGUUUAAUACAAUUCGAAGCAACUUUACCUGUGGCUCCAGUCAUUCUUCUCUACGCAACUCACUUUAUCCCUCCUACGAAUCUAGCUAUUGGCCCAUUCUCUCCAUCUUACUUUAACUUCCCCUACCCUAUCCUGUACUUGGCUACACUUACUUU
ensembl:lncRNA